CUUAGAGAAAGCCAUCACUGAGAGGGUUAAGGUGGAAAGAAAAGUGAAAACAGCUGAGCUGAGUAAGGAAGACGAAGAACACUGAAAACAGUUACAAGGAAGACACAGUAAGAUGUGAUCUUCUAAAGUGAAAAUUUCCCAAAGUACCAAGGAAAAGGAGAAACUGCAGAAGAGCUUCAAGAACCACAAACACUUGGGUUUUGCAUCUUGCCAGAAAAUCUGCACUGUUGGUAGAAGCCUGGGGUAGGGCUGGCAGGACCUGACUCAGCGGAGAAAAUGCCACCCACAGUCACUGACUCUGCUUCCGCAGUAGCGGAGCUCCCCUGUUUUCUCUGGAGGUUUCCCACAGCCGGGCCAAUACCCAUGUCUCUCAGAUGGGAAACUGGACUUUUGGAAAAUUGAAACUAAAUAAAGUUGUAUAACUUUUAAAAGAAG
rnacentral:lncRNA from 10 species